rnacentral:rRNA from 1 species
GACGAACGCUGGCGGCGUGCUUAACACAUGCAAGUCGAACGAUGAAGCCGGAGCUUGCUCCGGUGGAUUAGUGGCGAACGGGUGAGUAACACGUGAGCAAUCUGCCCUUGACUCUGGGAUAACUGCGGGAAACUGUAGCUAAUACCGGAUACGACACCUUGGGGCAUCCCAGGGUGUGGAAAGAAUUUCGGUCAAGGAUGAGCUCGCGGCCUAUCAGCUAGUUGGUGAGGUAAUGGCUCACCAAGGCGACGACGGGUAGCCGGCCUGAGAGGGGAACCGGACACACUGGAACUGAGACACGGUCCAGACUCCUACGGGAGGCAGCAGUGGGGAAUAUUGCACAAUGGGCGAAAGCCUGAUGCAGCAACGCCGCGUGAGGGAUGAAGGCCUUCGGGUUGUAAACCUCUUUUAGCAGGGAAGAAGCGAAAGUGACGGUACCUGCAGAAGAAGCACCGGCUAACUACGUGCCAGCCGCCGCAGUAA